rnacentral:rRNA from 1 species
GUGGGGAAUAUUGGACAAUGGGCGAAAGCCUGAUCCAGCCAUGCCGCGUGUGUGAAGAAGGUCUUCGGAUUGUAAAGCACUUUAAGUUGGGAGGAAGGGCAGUAAGUUAAUACCUUGCUGUUUUGACGUUACCGACAGAAUAAGCACCGGCUAACUUCGUGCCAGCAGCCGCGGUAAUAUGAAGGGUGCAAGCGUUAAUCGGAAUUACUGGGCGUAAAGCGCGCGUAGGUGGUUCAGCAAGUUGGAGGUGAAAUCCCCGGGCUCAACCUGGGAACUGCCUCCAAAACUACUGAGCUAGAGUACGGUAGAGGGUAGUGGAAUUUCCUGUGUAGCGGUGAAAUGCGUAGAUAUAGGAAGGAACACCAGUGGCGAAGGCGACUACCUGGACUGAUACUGACACUGAGGUGCGAAAGCGUGGGGAGCAAACAGGAUUAGAAACCCCUGUAGUCC